rfam:Pelosinus sp. TFO1, complete genome.
AGGAGCCUUUGGGGCAAGGUGAAAAAGAGAAAUCUUUUAACUCCUUACCGGCGGUGAUUAGCCCGCGAGCCGUAUGGCUGAUCCGGUGGAAUUCCGGAGCCGACAGUAUAGUCUGGAUGGAAAAAGGUUAUU